rnacentral:rRNA from 1 species
UACGGGGGGAGCAAGCGUUGUUCGGAAUCACUGGGCGUAAAGGGUGCGUAGGCGGGUCUUUAAGUCAGGGGUGAAAUCCUGGAGCUCAACUCCAGAACUGCCUUUGAUACUGAGGAUCUUGAGUUCGGGAGAGGUGAGUGGAACUGCGAGUGUAGAGGUGAAAUUCGUAGAUAUUCGCAAGAACACCAGUGGCGAAGGCGGCUCACUGGCCCGAUACUGACGCUGAGGCACGAAAGCGUGGGGAGCAAACAGG